UCCGAUGGCAAGACGUUACCUUGUAUGUC
rnacentral:piRNA from 1 species